rnacentral:rRNA from 1 species
UACGGAGGGUGCAAGCGUUAAUCGGAAUUACUGGGCGUAAAGCGUGCGUAGGCGGUUCGUUAAGUCUGUUGUGAAAGCCCCGGGCUCAACCUGGGAAUGGCAAUGGAUACUGGCGAGCUAGAGUGUGUCAGAGGAUGGUGGAAUUCCCGGUGUAGCGGUGAAAUGCGUAGAGAUCGGGAGGAACAUCAGUGGCGGAAGGCGGCCAUCUGGGGACAACACUGACGCUGAGGCACGAA